CACACACACACACAUACACAAACUCUCUCUCUCUCUCUCUCUUUCUGUUGCUCCCUCACUCUCUUUUUCUCUUUCUGUCUCUGUCUCUCUCGCACACAUCGAGGCUGCUGCACACGCUACUGCACUCACAUGGCUCUGUAGACUCGGUGGUCUAAGGGGAGAGCUAUGCAGGGAGUGACUAAGAGCAGCCUGUCUACAGCACAGAAUUAAUAUAGAGGGGAGAUAAAGAGAGCAAGAGAGAGAGGCUGACUGACGGAAAGACAUUUCCCUCGUUUCUCACAGGCUGGAAAUGGAUGCUUCGCCAUAAGCGUCGACAAUUUCUCUCGCUCUCUCUCCGUCUCGCUGCGUAGCGGCUGGCUGGCUGGCUGCAGUCUGCUGGAGAGAGAAAGGAGAGCGGCUGCAGCUCGCCCCACUCCCUCACCCUCUCCAUCUCUCCAAGUGCUGGCGGAUAAUAAUACAGACAGGGAGCUCAAACAAAGAAAGAUUGAUAGAACGAGGGAAGAGAGGAGCAAAGGAGUGAAGAGUACUGGAAGAGAAGGAAGGAGAGAAAAGAAAGAGGAAAGAGGAGACACGGUGCCAGGAUUCCAUUUGACUGAAAAGAGGAAAAGAGAAAGAGAGAGAGAGAGAGAAAGACAGAGUGUCGCCAUUUCAAAAAUGACUUAUGAGGAAGAGCUGUGAACACUGCCCAGGAACACUCUGCUGAAAUCCAGCACACAGGAGGAGAGCUUCACACACACCGCCCCACCCUCAAUCACCCGAUCUCAGGUACAGCCUUCUGUUCUGCACUGACACUCUGCUGUAGCUUUAGCAACACUUUACUCAUUACGU
rnacentral:lncRNA from 1 species